rnacentral:rRNA from 1 species
UACAGAGGUGGCAAGCGUUGUUCGGAAUUACUGGGCGUAAAGGGCGCGUAGGCGGCCAUCUAAGUCAGACGUGAAAUCCCCCGGCUUAACCUGGGAACUGCGUCUGAUACUGGACGGCUCGAGUUUGGGAGAGGGAUGCAGAAUUCCAGGUGUAGCGGUGAAAUGCGUAGAUAUCAGGAGGAACACCGGUGGCGAAGGCGGGACUCUGGGCCGAUACUGACGCUGAGGAGCGAAAGCGUGGGGAGCAAACAGG